rnacentral:rRNA from 1 species
CCUACGGGAGGCAGCAGUGAGGAAUAUUGGUCAAUGGACGGAAGUCUGAACCAGCCAUGCCGCGUGCAUGAAGACGGCUCUAUGAGUUGUAAACUGCUUUUGUACAAGGGUAAACCUGAAUACGUGUAUUCAGCUGAAAGUACUUUACGCAUAAGGAUCGGCUAACCCCGUGCCAGCAGCCGCGGUAAUACGGUGGAUCCAAGCGUUAUCCGGAUGUAUUGGGUUUAAAGGGUGCGUAGGCGGAUUGAUAAGUUAGAGGUGAAAUGUCCGAGCUUAACUCGGGAACUGCCUCUAAUCCUGUUGAUCUAGAGAGUAGAUGAGGUAGGCGGAAUUCGUGGUGUAGCGGUGAAAUGCUUAGAUAUCACGAAGAACUCCGAUUGCGAAGGCAGCUUACUAAACUGCCACUGACAUUGAGGCUCGAAAGUGUGGGGAUCAAACAGGAUUAGAUACCCUUGUAGUC